rnacentral:rRNA from 1 species
CCUGACUGCUAUCGGAUUGGUACUAAGCCAUGUGAGUCAUUGUAGCAAUACAAGGCAGACGGCUCAGUAACACGUAGUCAAUCUACCCUAUGGACGGGGAUAACCUCGGGAAACUGAGGAUAAAACCCGAUAGAUCAUAGUGCCUGGAACGGCUUAUGGUCCAAAUGAUUCGUCGCCGUAGGAUGGGACUGCGGCCUAUCAGCUUGUUGGUGAGGUAAUGGCCCACCAAGGCUAUUACAGGUACGGGCUCUGAGAGGAGAAGCCCGGAGAUGGGUACUGAGACACGGACCCAGGCCCUAUGGGGCGCAGCAGGCGAGAAACCUUUGCAAUGUGCGCAAGCACGACAAGGUUAAUCCGAGUGUUUCCUGCUAAAGGAAUCUUUUGUUAGUUUUAAAACCACUAGUGAAUAAGGGGUGGGCAAGUUCUGGUGUCAGCCGCCGCGGUAAAACCAGCACCUCAAGUGGUCAGGAGGAUUAUUGGGCCUAAAGCAUCCGUAGCCUGUUCUGUAAGUUUCCGGUUAAAUCCAUUAGCUCAACUAAUGGGCUGCCGAAAAUACUGCAGAACUAGGGAGUGGGAGAGGUAGACGGUACUCGGUAGGAAGGGGUAAAAUCCUUUGAUCUAUUGAUGACCACCUGUGGCGAAGGCGGUCUACCAGAACACGUCCGACGGUGAGGGAUGAAAGCUGGGGGAGCAAACCGGAUUAGAUACCCGGGUAGUCCCAGCUGUAAACUAUGCAAACUCAGUGAUGCAUUGGCUUGUGGCCAAUGCAGUGCUGCAGGGAAGCCGUUAAGUUUGCCGCCUGGGAAGUACGUACGCAAGUAUGAAACUUAAAGGAAUUGGCGGGGGAGCACCACAAGGGGUGAAGCCUGCGGUUC